AGGACGAACGCUGGCGGCGUGCUUAACACAUGCAAGUCGAGCGAGGCCCUUCCUUCGGGGAGGUGCCCUAGCGGCGAACGGGUGAGUAACACGUGGGCAACCUGCCCCUAGCACUGGGAUAACUCCGGGAAACCGGGGCUAAUACCGGAUAUGACCUUCUUGGGCAUCCUCGAAGGUGUAAAGGAUUCUGGCUAGGGAUGGGCCCGCGGCCUAUCAGCUUGUUGGUGGGGUAAUGGCCUACCAAGGCGACGACGGGUAGCCGGCCUGAGAGGGUGACCGGCCACGACUGGGACUGAGACACGGCCCAGACUCCUACGGGAGGCAGCAGUGGGAAUCUUGCACAAUGGGCGAAAGCCUGAUGCAGCGACGCCGCGUGAGGGAUGGACUGCCUUCGGGUUGUAAACCUCUUUCAGCAGGGACGAAGCGAAAGUGACGGUACCUGCAGAAGAAGCACCGGCCAACUCGUGCCAGCAGCCGC
rnacentral:rRNA from 1 species